rnacentral:lncRNA from 1 species
UACCCAACCUUUUAAAAUUUUGAUUUUACUAUCCAAUCUUUCAAUUUGUUUGAUUUGAUUCAAUCAACAGUACUUUCACUUCAAAAUUUGAAUGUAUUAUUUAUCUUUACAGGUUUAGUUUCUCGCAAUUAUAAAUUCAUUAAAGUAAGUAAUUAGGUUAAAUUUUAAAGUUAAAAUACUGUUAGCUAACUCAAUCAAACAAAUUGAAAGGUUGGGUAACCGAUUGAAAAUGGUCCAUAGUUUAGGUAAGUUUUGUAUGUUUUUUAUAAAUUAAAAAUAUAAGAU